CCCUAGAUGGCUCAGCGGUAAAGAACCCGCCUGCCAUGCAGGAGACUCAGGUUCAAUCCCUGGGUUGGGAA
rnacentral:tRNA from 1 species